rnacentral:ncRNA from 1 species
ACAACAACUGAGAACAGAAGUAGUACAUUUCAAGCGCUGCAAAGAGAGCCUGCAUAACGGUGAAAGCAGGAGAGUGAUGAGAAAUGGAACGUGUCUGGGAGUUGGAUUGUCGAACGCAGAUAUGCAUGAGGCAGUUCCGUAUGACCUGACGUUACAGGGAAAGCGUCGUUCGUUUUUAUAUAACGGACGGAAGUAAGGUGGUACCGCGAGCAAUCGUCCUUUGU